AUUGAACGCUGGCGGCAUGCCUUACACAUGCAAGUCGAACGGCAGCACGGGAGCAAUCCUGGUGGCGAGUGGCGAACGGGUGAGUAAUACAUCGGAACGUGCCCAAUCGUGGGGGAUAACGCAGCGAAAGCUGUGCUAAUACCGCAUAAGAUCUACGGAUGAAAGCAGGGGAUCGCAAGACCUUGCGCGAAUGGAGCGGCCGAUGGCAGAUUAGGUAGUUGGUGAGGUAAAGGCUCACCAAGCCUUCGAUCUGUAGCUGGUCUGAGAGGACGACCAGCCACACUGGGACUGAGACACGGCCCAGACUCCUACGGGAGGCAGCAGUGGGGAAUUUUGGACAAUGGGGGC
rnacentral:rRNA from 1 species